rnacentral:rRNA from 1 species
CCCUUAGAUGUUCUGGGCAGCACGCGCGCUACACUGAUGCAUUCAACGAGUCUAAAACCUGCUCUGAUAGGGGUGGGUAAUCUUUUGAAUGUGCAUCGUGAUUGGGAUAGAUGAUUGCAAUUUUUCAUCUUCAACGAGGAAUGCCUAGUAAACGCAAGUCAUCAGCUUGCAUUGAUUACGUCCCUGCCCUUUGUACACACCGCCCGUCGCUCCUACCGAUUGAAUGAUCCGAUGAAUAUCAUGGAUUGAGGAUUAUAGCAGGUUCGCCUGUCUUGAUCUUCGAGAAGUGAAGUAAAUCUUAUCAUUUAGAGGAAGGAGAAGUCGUAACA